rnacentral:rRNA from 1 species
UACGUAGGGGGCUAGCGUUGUUCGGAAUUACUGGGCGUAAAGGGCGCGUAGGCGGCCUUCUAAGUCGAACGUGAAAUCCCCGGGCUCAACCCGGGAACUGCGUCCGAUACUGGAAGGCUUGAAUCCGGGAGAGGGAUGCGGAAUUCCAGGUGUAGCGGUGAAAUGCGUAGAUAUCUGGAGGAACACCGGUGGCGAAGGCGGCAUCCUGGACCGGCAUUGACGCUGAGGCGCGAAAGCCAGGGGAGCAAACGGG